rnacentral:rRNA from 1 species
UACGGAGGGAGCUAGCGUUGUUCGGAAUUACUGGGCGUAAAGCGCGCGUAGGCGGCUUUGUAAGUUAGAGGUGAAAGCCCGGAGCUCAACUCCGGAACUGCCUUUAAGACUGCAUCGCUUGAAUCCAGGAGAGGUGAGUGGAAUUCCGAGUGUAGAGGUGAAAUUCGUAGAUAUUCGGAAGAACACCAGUGGCGAAGGCGGCUCACUGGACUGGUAUUGACGCUGAGGUGGCGAAAGCGUGGGGAGCAAACAGG